UACGGGGGGUGCAAGCGUUGUUCGGAAUUAUUGGGCGUAAAGCGCGUGUAGGCGGUUUGUUAAGUCUGAUGUGAAAGCCCUGGGCUCAACCCAGGAAGUGCAUUGGAUACUGGCAGACUUGAAUACGGGAGAGGGUAGUGGAAUUCCUGGUGGAGCGGUGAAAUGCGUAGAUAUCAGGAGGAAUACCAGUGGCGAAGGCGGCUACCUGGACCGAUACUGGCGCUGAGACGCGAAAGCGUGGGGAGCAAACAGG
rnacentral:rRNA from 1 species